AAAUAACUUUUGAGUAUUUUGUUCAUGCUAUGGUAGGAGAGGAGAUGUGUUUUGUUUCUGGAUCCUCUUUAAUUUCACUGAUCCUGGAAACUGGAACUUUGUGUAUGUUUAAAUACAACAUAAGAGAUCCGAAACUGUAGAACUCUCAUAUGGUAGCUCUGCAUAACUGAGUAUCUGUGGACUCUGUAGUUGCACUACAUUUUGUACUCUGUAUUUGAUUAUGAAAGUAUUUUCCUUGUAUCUCCUGCAUGCAUCUCAGUCUCAUGCAGUCUUUAUAGCAUAAAUGAAGAAAUGUGGUCUAAAUGGAGCUUUUGUGCUGUGUAACCUGUUUGAGAAAUCUACCUCACUGUUUUACAAUGGCUUUUUUAUUUUGCAUGUUCAUACUUAAUCACACUGGAAAAUGGAAAGCUGUUUGCAUUUGAAUGGUGUGCUUUGGCACUGUGUGAUCAGCGCAUGUACUAAUGAUUUCCUUUUAUUUUUCUUCUUUCCUACUUUUCCCCUUUUUUCCCAUUCUUUCCACGUUUUGUACUGCUAUCUCCAUACUUUCCUCUGAAUUUCUUUGCUUACUGUAGCAGCCCUUGCCUUUUCUCUUGCAGCAACAGCCCAGGCUCCAAGGAUCAUUACUGGGCCUGCGCCUGUUCUCCCACCAGCUGCCCUGCGUACUCCUACGCCAGCUGGCCCUACCAUAAUGCCUUUGAUCAGACAAAUACAAACCGCUGUCAUGCCAAACGGAACUCCUCAUCCCACCGCUGCAAUAGUGCCACCAGGACCCGAAGCUGGUUUAAUUUACACCCCGUACGAGUACCCCUACACGCUGGCACCAGCUACAUCAAUCCUUGAGUAUCCCAUUGAACCUAGUGGUGUAUUAGGUGCGGUGGCUACUAAAGUUCGAAGGCACGAUAUGCGUGUCCAUCCUUACCAAAGGAUUGUGACCGCAGACCGAGGUUAGUUUAGUUCUGGAGUUCUUGUUUGUAAGAAGUGCUUUGAGUGUACAUGAGAUUUGCAACACCACAGCUGGUUAACCAAAAACCAUAUUUUGUCCCAUUCAUAACUUUUUCACAAAAAUGUGAAUGGUUAAUAUUUUAGAGCUUGGGGAAUACUUGUGGUUACAAAAAACGUUUUAUAAACCUGCCUUUCCCAGCUCAAUUAAAUAUAUACACUUUGUUGUAUAUUUAAUAUAAAAGCUAUAACAUAUUUCCCUUUUAAAAACUAUUUAAAGAUCCAUCUGCAUCAGGAAACCCUAUGAGUUAAGUGCUGCAGUGAUUAAUUUGUGUUUCCUCCUCUCCCUCCAAUUUGUUCUUUUAAUUGGUGUGGAAAUAUCAGAUUGGUGUUGCAAAAUAAAAUGAAUGGAUGGUUGCUUAAUGAGGAAGAAGUAAAGGAAUAAAUGCCUCCUGUCUGUGUCUGGAGAAAUUUGAAGAUUUAGAUUCCUUUUUUUCCAAUAAACUUUUGAGCCACUGUACUGUAUAUUUUGAGGAGGAUGCAUGUUCUCAGAUACCUAACUGAAUUCAGAAACAUAAGGGCUGUGAAGAAAAUACUUCAAAAGUUGUUUGAGUUUGAAUUAAUAAGGAUGAGGGAAGGGAAGGUGUUUUGGUUUUCUGCCAAAUUCUGUUUCCUGGUUUUUACCUCUUGCUGCUAAAAUGCGUAACCUGAAGGAGAAGCAACUUUUGAAGUCCUGUUGGUGAGAUGACAUCCAAUAUUUGGGCAUCUCUCUUAUAACUCUUGACUGGAAAGUAAAUCUUCAUUUUUCUCCCAUUCCUCAAACAUAAUGCCUUUGGACCCCUGAAUGAAGUAUUUAAGCUUAUUGAGAAAACCAAUAUUUUCGGUUUAUUGACAUUGGCUAAUAAACAGUGUAGGCUGAGCACAGGAACUCCCGAAUUCUUAUCCUGUCCCUGCUGCUGACACAGUGUGGGUUUCAGCAAGUCAUUUAAUCCCUCUGUGAAUGUUUUCCCAUCUGUAAAAUAAGGAUAAUAAUACUUCCCUACCUCACAGGGGUGUUGUGGGGGUUCUUGUUUGUACAGGGCUUUGAGGACACAAAGCUUUAUGUGCCAAGUAUUAUUAUUCUUCUCUCAUCAAAAUCAGUGCUGUGCAGGCUUAUAUGAUAGUGUAAUACUCAGAAGCCAAAUUCCGGUGACAGAUCUGACAUCUAAUGCUGACUACGCUUUAUUUCUCGCAAUCUCCCAUAAAUUUACUACAAGAAACGAUACAAAUUUCAGUCAAUACAUUAAAAAUGGCUCUCCUGGAUACUUGCUGUGUUUAUGUAACACUUAUACCUUUCAUAUGGAAAGAACAUAUGCUUUACGAAAGAUGUAACAAGACACUACAUAGGUUUUUCAGAAGAUUUCUUCUUAUUUCUUGAAAGCUCUUCAGUGGGCAACGGGGCAUAGUCAGAAUAAGGUCAUAGCAAAUGUUGGCAAAAAGAGAUUAUAACCUACAUUUUGUCAAGUGCGAUAAAUGUUAGGAUUUGGUAAUCUUUAAAAGUUUAACCUGAUGUUACAAAGAUCGGUUUUUGCUUGAGAUCAUUUUGAUCUGCAAUGAUAGCUUCAGGAUACCCUAAAACUACUUGUUUAGUUGGAUAUUUACCUGAGACAACUAGUAAACACAAUGAUAAAGUAUAGAGUGGGAGAAGCAUUCCAAUUUUUUAUUUGCUUUCAUCAUGGUAGUAUUUAGU